GUAGGUGAACCUGCGGAAGGAUCAUUACAGAGUAUCAUGCCCUUCGGGGUAGAUCUCCACCCUUGAAUAACAUACCUUUGUUGCUUUGGCAGGACGCACUCGUGCCAGGGGCUUCGGCUCUUGAGUGCCUGCCAGAGGACCACAACUCUUGUUCUUUACUGGCCUCUCUGAGUAUUUAUACAAAUAAGUUAAAACUUUCAACAACGGAUCUCUUGGUUCUG
rnacentral:misc_RNA from 1 species